AGACGUCCCUCCUCUUCUCUGCGCCCUGGCCGCCCUCUCCGGGGAGCCGCCGCGGCAGAGGCGGAGCGGAGCGCACGACGGCGGCGCCGAGAGCGGCGGCGGAGGGCACUGCCCGAGUGGCCGAGGGUCGGGGCUCAGCCCUGCCCGGCGCCGGGGGAGCCGGCCACGAGCGAAGCUGCCGCUGCAGACACCCCGCGCCGUGCGCCGCCCGGGCACCCCGAGAGCCGCAGCCGCCGCCUCCCCGGCAGGUUUCCUGUUCCUUUCAGAAGUUUUCUCUCCAACACCUUUGCUCCUCCUCCUCCCUCCUCCGCUCCCCCUCCGUCUCCCCUCCCCGCUCGGCGCCCCGCCGCGGCCGUCACCGCCGCCGCGCGGGAGCUGGUGGUGCAGAGCCCCUCGGUCCCCUCGGGGGAAUUUUUGGACCAGGUGGUGGUGCCCAUUGGGCGCCGGGGAGGAGAGGCGCCUGGGGAGGAGGGGGCGGGAGGCCAAUCAGGGAGCGGCGGCCGGGGGCGGAGCGGGACGGGGGCGGGACGACGCUGGGGAGGCCGGGCCACCCGGGCAGCCGCGGCUGUGGCCGCGCGGGCCGGGGAGGAGACGCAGCGCGCGGCGGCGCUGGAGGGGCGACGAGGGCGGUAUAGCUGCCCUGGAGGGGCCGGCCCUCGGGUGUGACAGUCCCUGCCUGGGAAAGCGAAGGAUGGCGGAGUCGAGACCCGUUCCCGGAGCUUCAAGGGGGCAGGGAGGAAGGGAACAGAUAAAACCCACAGAGAAAACUGCCGUCUAA
rnacentral:lncRNA from 1 species